UACGUAUGGUGCAAGCGUUAUCCGGAUUUACUGGUUGUAAAGGGAGCGCAGGCGGCACGGCAAGCCUGAUGUGAAAGCCCGCGGCCCAACCGCGGGACUGCAUUGGGAACUACCGGGCUGGAGUGCCGGAGAGGUAGGCGGAAUUCCUAGUGUAGCGGUGAAAUGCGUAGAUAUUAGGAGGAACACCAGUGGCGAAGGCGGCCUACUGGACGGUGACUGACGCUGAGGCUCGAAAGCGUGGGGAGCAAACAGG
rnacentral:rRNA from 1 species